GAUGAAGAACGCAGCGAAAUGCGAUAAGUAGUGUGAAUUGCAGAAUUCAGUGAAUCAUCGAAUCUUUGAACGCACAUUGCGCCCUUUGGUAUUCCUUAGGGCAUGCCUGUUCGAGCGUCAUUUAAACCUUCAAGCUAAGCUUGGUGUUGGGUGACUGUCCGCUUCACGGCGGACUCGCCUCAAAAUUAUUGGCGGCCGGUACAUUGGCUUCGAGCGCAGCAGAAACGCGAACUCGGGCCCGUCGUAUUGGCUCCCAGAAGCUAUCUUCACAAUUUUGACAUCGGAUCAGGUAGGGAUACCCGCUGAACUUAAGCAUAUCAAUAAGCGGAGGA
rnacentral:misc_RNA from 1 species